CACACCUAAUCCGCGUUCCUGGCGUUACCUCGCGCGAAUCGCCUAGGCUUUCUUCUGCACAAUUCAAACGAGAGGAAGAGGGAAAUAGAAAACAGAAACCGAUCCGGUCUAAUCUCCAUUCAAUCCCUUCCUCUUUCUGAUUCCGAGGGAUUUCUACCAAAACCCUGAUCUCUCUCUCUCUCUCUCUCUCUCUCUCUCUCUCUCUCUCUCUCUCCCUCUUUCUCUCUACAGAAAUUCAUGGCCGAAAACGUCACCCCAAAUGCGAAACAGAGGCCUCCUCCCAUGUCUUCUCGCCUCCAAUCUCCAACAAGCCCCUUCUUCCUGGGCUCCAACGACGACCAACUCGAACGCGCCCAAGCCCGCGCGGCCCGUGCCGCCGCCAACCGUAGAAAAUCCACUGCUCAUCCUCCGCCUCAGCCUUCGGACCGGUCAGAUCUAUUCAACAAAGACCAGAUAGCAGAGCUCUUCCAAAACUGCAUCAAACUCGCCAGCGAAAAUAAAAUAAACCAGAAAAACACGUGGGAUCUGACCCUCAUCGAUCAUCUCAGUGAAAUCAUCAGGGUUGAAUCGGAGGAUGACGCCGAGACCAAUUUCCAAAAGGCGAGCUGUACAUUGGAAGCUGGAGUAAAGAUAUACUCGUUGAGGGUUGAUUCAGUGCAUUCUGAGGCAUACAAAGUUCUUGGUGGGAUUAAUCGGGUGGGCCAUGAAGGCGAUAAAGAGGACACUGUAGAGGGUGAAAACAUUGAUUCUGUACAAGAAGAGGGCCGUCCGAAGAAAGAGUCAGAGAAAAAGAUCUCACCUUUAUCAACAUUGGAGUCAUCUUUUGAGGCUCUAAAUGUAAAGAAGUUUGAUGUGGCCUUCACUGUGGAUCCUUUAUAUCAUCAAUCGUCUGCACAAUUUGAUGAAGGUGGAGCCAAGGGUCUUCUCCUCAAUAACCUUGGAGUAUAUGGUGGCUGUCGAGUGCUUUUUGAUUCACUUGAAACACCAGGGAAGAAUCUAUCAUGUGCACCACAAACUGAUUUAUCAGAACAGAUCGAUAUUUCUUUUGCAAGAGAGUACAUUGAGCAAAUGAUGAUUCAAAUGCGUCAGAAGAAAGACAUCUCUCCAUCACUGAGGGAUAUUGUGAAUCAGUUUGAUGAAGAUAAUCGGAGGCCACCGGAUGUAUUUUCUGUAGACCAGACAACAGUGGAACAGGAUGCUUCAGCCAGCUAUAAUCAAGCUGAGGUGGAAAAUGAUGUGUUUGAUGAUUGUGGGCCUUGGGGCUUUGAUAACGAUGACCAGACAAGUGUGCACGAUGACCUCUCAACCUCUGCAAAUCCACAUUUCGCAAGUAACCAUGAGGAGAAUGGCAACUAUAUAUUCCAUGAACCUGAUGCGGAUGUUAGAUUCGAAAAAGUUGCUGCUUUUGCGUUUCUAGGCCUGGGAUGUAUUUCAAAACAAAAUUCUUGGGCAGGUCCUGAUCAUUGGAAGUAUCGGAAAGCUAAAGGUCCGGAGCAGGAUCCAGUUUCAGCAAGUGGAUCAUUAGCAACAUCAAAGAAAUCAAAGAACAGAAAGCAGGCAGCCAUUGAUAUCGAUUUCACAAAAUCCUUAGGCAAGGAAAUGCCAGAUAUCUUUGCGCUUCCAAAAAAUCCAAAGUCAUUAUUGCUUCCUGCAAGUAGAGUUCCUUGCAAUACUACACUUCCAGAAGACUGUCACUAUCAGCCUGUGGAUCUCGUCAAGUUGUUUCUUCUUCCCAAUGUUAUGUGCCUUGGGAAGAGAGGAAGAAAAUCUUCAGAUGAAUCGAGACGAGAAAGCCACACUAAUGAAGGAUUUGCAUCAUGGGAUAAUGAUAGUGAGAUCAGUGGCCAUUUUGAUGAUGGGAAUGUUCUCAGUGAUAUGGAAGACUCGAGCACUCUUGUUUCACACCCUCGGCAGGUAAAUAAAAUUGAAGUUCAAUAUGACAAGUCUUCUAAGCAGGUUGAUGUUCAUGUAUUGAAAGAAACGCUCUGGGAUCAUUUGCAAGAAUGCAUUAAAAACACUGAGAUGGGACAUGAGGAAGAGGUAUCUUUCAACCAUGUCUUGAGCAGCUUUCCUGCCGACUGUGCAGCAGCUGCAUCCAAGGAUAUUUCCCCACACCUGUGUUUCAUAUGUCUCUUGCAUUUGGCUAAUGAGCAUGGUCUGAGCAUCCACGACUGCCCCACUUUGGAUGAACUCCAUAUACGCAUUCCUCAGCAUGCCAAAGCAUUCGUGCAGUGAUCCUGCCAUCCUCCCCCACACCAUGGAUCUCUGUAUUAGCAGGUGCACAAGUGCCUGCAACUCAAUGUAAUCAUGUACCAUGCUGCUAGCAGCUUUCUUUCCAUGAUCAAGACUGGCAAGUGACCAUAGUGCCUGAGCAUCAAGCCUCAGACUAGGCUGGAGCAUCAAAUAACUCUACAGUGGAAAUUAUUCUGUGAGUCAUCUUCCAUGAGCUUCAUGUAACCUAUCUGCCACCUUCCAUGUUGCAAGAGGAUAGUGAAUUGGGACCAUCUACCUUGUGACCCUUGCUGUGGAUGCCCUGCAGUUCAAAAUCCACUCUAAUCAGUGGUCCAACUACAGUGGGGAAAGGUGUGUGAAAGUGAUGACUGCUUUUGUGUGAUCAUUGUUGUUUUUGAAGUGCGGGCCACCACAGCACAAUCUCCUUGGUUGAAAGAGAAACUUUGACGGAUGAUACGCUGGCACCUAGAAUUACUCAGAAAAUGCAUGCGUGCCAUUCAUGUAAUUCAAAUUAAACUGCCUGGUGACCCAUUAAAUCAAAGGUCUUGAUCA